UACGUCGGGUCCGAGCGUUGUCCGGAAUUAUUGGGCGUACAGAGCUCGUAGGCGGUUUGUCGCGUCUGCUGUGAAAUCUAGAGGCUCAACCUCUAGCGUGCAGUGGGUACGGGCAGACUGGAGUGGUGUAGGGGAGACUGGAAUUCCUGGUGUAGCGGUGGAAUGCGCAGAUAUCAAGAGGAACACCUGAGGUGAAGACGGGUUGCUGGGCCAACACUGACGCUGAGGCGCGAAAGCCAGGGGAGCAAACGGG
rnacentral:rRNA from 1 species